UGGGAAGCAGCCUCCCUUGUGAAAGCACGCUUGUAAGUAGGCGGUGCAUAACUCACAGGCCAUGCAAAAAGCCUGGCUGAAUUCGAUUGCUUUUGAGACAGCUGGUUCUGUGGCCAUCGCUGGGCUGACUCUGUUUCUCCAUUGGAGGUCCAGUCAUCUUGGUGGCAGGUGGUUUUCUGAGAUCCACCUGCUGGGCCAUUUCAGGCCACUGAAACUCCCUUGCUGGGAUUAACUCCGCUUAAAGCUUACACUAUGUUGUUUUCGCAAAAUCCUCUUGGUUUAGGAGAGACUGAGAAGAUUCUUGGUGAAAGUUGGACAAACAGCUGAGUUAUUUGUGUCCAAAGGUAAAUCGUGCCCAGGGGCAGGCAGCCAGGGGAGAGGAGCAGAUGGCACACUGAUGACGCAGCCGCCACCAGGAGCUGGUCCAUGGAGGGGAUACAGCAACACCCGACGCUUUCACCCGGUUGAUCUGAUGAACACAGCCGAAGACUUCCGGCAGCACAGGCCUGGGUUCUCAUAUUUGCCCUGGAUUCCAGUUCUUUGCAGACCUUCAGACACAAUUGAAUGCCUCUGUGAGGGAGGAGGGAGCUGGACUUGUCACUGCGUGUCCGAUCUUCCCAGACUCAGAUGAAGGAAGGCGGGACUAGUCCUGGGCCAGACCUCAGCCUCCCCAUCUCUUUCGCAUCUCACCACCUUAGAAAAGAGAGAAGGACUUCCCUGGUGGUCCAGUGGUUAGGGCUCCAAGCUUCCACUGCAGGGGUCAUGGCUGUGACCCCUGGUCAGGGAAUUAACUAACUUAAUAAAUAAAAGAAAAUACAAAGAGAA
rnacentral:lncRNA from 1 species